UAAGCACGGACCAAGGAGUCUAACACGUGCGCGAGUCGCAGGGUUGUACGAAACCCGGAGGCGCAACGAAAGUGAACCGGUCUUCGCGGAUCGGUAGGUGGGAUCCCGGACGCGUUCGCGCGCGUUCGGGCGCACCACCGGCCUGUCUCGGCCGCGACGUCGGCGAGGCGGAGCAAGAGCGUACGCGUUGGGACCCGAAAGAUGGUGAACUAUGCCUGAGCAGGAUGAAGCCAGAAGAAAUUCUGGUGGAGGUCCGCAGCGAUUCUGACGUGCAAAUCGAUCGUCAAACUUGGGUAUAGGGGCGAAAGACUAAUCGAACCAUCUAGUAGCU
rnacentral:rRNA from 1 species